CACGUAGGGACCAAGCGUUGUCCGGAUUUAUUGGGCGUAAAGCGCUCGUAGGCGGUUCGGUAAGUCGGGUGUGAAACCUCCAGGCUCAACCUGGUGACGCCACCCGAUACUGCCAUGACUUGAGUUCGGUAGGGGAGCGGAGAAUUCCUGGUGUAGCGGUGAAAUGCGCAGAUAUCAGGAGGAACACCGGUGGCGAAGGCGCCGCUCUGGGCCGAAACUGGCGCUGAGGAGCGAAAGCGUGGGGAGCGAACAGG
rnacentral:rRNA from 1 species